rnacentral:rRNA from 1 species
CUAAUCCUGUUUGCUCCCCACGCUUUCGUGCAUGAGCGUCAGUGUUAUCCCAGGGGGUUGCCUUCGCCAUUGGUAUUCCUCCACAUAUCUACGCAUUUCACUGCUACACAUGGAAUUCUACCCCCCUCUGACACACUCUAGUCUUACAGUUUCAAACGCAGUUCCCAAGUUGAGCUCGGGGAUUUCACAUCUGACUUAUAAGACCGCCUGCGCACGCUUUACGCCCAGUAAUUCCGAUUAACGCUUGCACCCUACGUAUUACCGCGGCUGCUGGCACGUAGUUAGCCGGUGCUUCUUGUCAAGAUACCGUCAUACUUACCAUUUAUUAAAUAAUAAGUUUUCUUCUCUUGCGAAAGAGCUUUACAACCCGAAGGCCUUCUUCACUCACGCGGAAUGGCUGGAUCAGGGUUGCCCCCAUUGUCCAAAAUUCCCCACUGCUGCCUCCCGUAGGAGUCUGGACCGUGUCUCAGUUCCAGUGUGGCUGAUCGUCCUCUCAGACCAGCUACUGAUCGUUGCCUUGGUAGGCCAUUACCCUACCAACAAGCUAAUCAGAUAUCGGCCGCUCUAAUAACGCAAGGUCCGAAGAUCCCCUGCUUUCACCCGUAGGUCGUAUGCGGCAUUAGCUAAUCUUUCGACUAGUUGUUCCCCAUUACUAGGCACGUUCCGAUAUAUUACUCACCCGUUCGCCACUCGCCAUCAGAGAGCAAGCUCUCUAUGCUGCCGUUCGACUUGCAUGUGUAAAGCAUUCCGCCAGCGUUCAAUCUGAGCCAGGAUC